rnacentral:rRNA from 1 species
GACGAACGCUGGCGGCGUGCUCAACACAUGCAAGUCGAACGGUGAAGCGCCUUCCUUUUUGGUGGGUGUGGAUGAGUGGCGAACGGGUGAGUAACACGUGAGUAACCUGCCCCCUUCUUCUGGAUAACCGCAUGAAAGUGUGGCUAAUACGGGAUAUUCUGGGUCUGUCGCAUGAUGGGUCUGGGAAAGAUAUUGUUUCGGUGGGGGAUGGGCUCGCGGCCUAUCAGCUUGUUGGUGGGGUGAUGGCCUACCAAGGCGGUGACGGGUAGCCGGCCUGAGAGGGUGGACGGUCACACUGGGACGGAGACACGGCCCAGACUCCUACGGGAGGCAGCAGUGGGGAAUAUUGCACAAUGGGCGCAAGCCUGAUGCAGCGACGCCGCGUGAGGGAUGGAGGCCUUCGGGUUGUGAACCUCUUUCGCCAGUGAAGCAGGCCUGCCUCGUUUGUGGGUGGGUUGACGGUAGCUGGAUAAGAAGCGCCGGCUAACUACGUG